UUGCUCACAACCUUCCAAAGAAUUCUCCUUUUGGGCUUUUGAUUCUUAAUUUCAGCCCAAAGGUGAAUUUUUUGGGAUGUUUGAGCU
rnacentral:pre_miRNA from 15 species